GACCGCUUGAAGCAAUGGUAGUGUGUUCGACUCGAGAUCGAAAUGUUGUGCGUUCUACCCGCUCAGUGGUCA
rfam:Angiostrongylus costaricensis strain Costa Rica genome assembly, scaffold: ACOC_scaffold0001653